rnacentral:rRNA from 1 species
UACAGAGGUCUCGAGCGUUGUUCGGAUUCAUUGGGCGUAAAGGGUGCGUAGGUGGCGCUGUAAGUCGGGUGUGAAAUCCUGAGGCUUAACCUCGGAACUGCAUUCGAUACUGCGGUGCUUGAGGACUGGAGAGGAGACUGGAAUUCAUGGUGUAGCAGUGAAAUGCGUAGAGAUCAGGAAGAACACCGGUGGCGAAAGCGCUCUGCUGGACCUUAACUGACACUGAGGGACGAAAGCUAGGGGAGCGAAUGGG